GGUUGUACACACUAGAAACUAGGCAUGCUGAUCCCACCUUGUCUGAUGGAGGUUGUACACACUAGAAACUAGGCAUGCUGAUCCCACCUUGUCUGAUGGAGGUUGUACACACUAGAAACUAUGCUUGCUUAUCCCCCCAUGAUGGAGGUUGUACACACUAGAAACUAUGCAUGCUGAUCCCACCUUGUCUGAUGGAGGUUGUACACACUAGAAACUAUGCAUGCUGAUCCCACCUUGUCUGAUGGAGGUUGUACACACUAGAAACUAUGCAUGCUGAUCCCACCUUGUCUGAUGGAGGUUGUACACACUAGAAACUAUGCAUGCUGAUCCCACCUUGU